GUACACGCUGUGACUAGCAUAUCAAUAAGCGGAGGAAAAGAAACUAACAAGGAUUCCCCUAGUAACGGCGAGUGAAGCGGGAAGAGCUCAAAUUUGAAAUCUUAAAGGGUUUCCCUUUACGAAUUGUAGUUUAAAGAAGUGUUUUCUGUUGAGGUUUUGGUAAAAGUUCUUUGGAAUAGGACAUCAUAGAGGGUGAGAAUCCCGUAUUUGACCUUUACUUUCAACUUUGUGAUACACUUUCAAAGAGUCGGAUUGUUUGGGAAUGCAGUCCAAAAUGGGUGGUAAAUUUCAUCUAAAGCUAAAUAUUGGCGAGAGACCGAUAGCGAACAAGUACCGUGAGGGAAAGAUGAAAAGAACUUUGAAAAGAGAGUUAAACAGUACGUGAAAUUGUCAAAAGGGAAGCGUUUGACACCAGUGUUGUUUUCUGAAAAUCAAUUAAAGAACUGUUUAUGCUAAGUUGUUUAGACUUUAUCAGCUAACUGUUUAGUUUUGAGCUUUUCUUUAAUGCACUUUUCAGUUAACAAGUCAACAUCAAUUUCUUUUGCUGUAAAAAAGCUUGAGGAAGGUGGCUUGAGAUUCGUCUUAAGUGUUUAUAGCCUCUUGCCUAUGCAGUCGGAGAGAUUGAGGUCUGCAGCGUAGAUCCUUCGGGGCUAAAUGCAUUUGUGCUAAGUUAUAGCAUUUCAUAGACAACUUGUUGACUAUGAUUUGUCUUGUAGCUUACUCGCUUAUGUUAUUUUACCUACGCUUAGGAUGUUGACAGCAGUAUAGACUGU
rnacentral:rRNA from 1 species